UGGAAACUGGGGAACUUGAGUGCACAAGAGGAGAGUGGAAUUCCACGUGUAGCGGUGAAAUGCGUAGAGAUGUGGAGGAACACCAAUGGCGAAGGCGACUCUCUGGUCUGUAACUGACGCUGAGGCGCGAAAGCGUGGGGAGCGAACAGGAUUAAAUACCCUGGUAGUCCACGCCGUAAACGAUGAAUGCUAAGUGUUAGAGGGGUUCCGCCCUUUAGUGCUGCAGCAAACGCAUUAAACCCUCCCCCUGGGGAGUACGGGCGCAAGACUGAAACUCAAAGGAAUUGACGGGGGCCCGCACCAGCGGUGGAGCAUGUGGUU
rnacentral:rRNA from 1 species